rnacentral:rRNA from 1 species
UACGUAGGGUGCGAGCGUUAAUCGGAAUUACUGGGCGUAAAGUGUGCGCAGGCGGCCGAGCAAGUCGAGUGUGAGAGCCCCGAGCUUAACUUGGGAACUGCGCUCGAAACUACUUGGCUAGAGUGUGGCAGAGGGAGGUGGAAUUCCACGUGUAGCGGUGAAAUGCGUAGAGAUGUGGAGGAACACCGAUGGCGAAGGCAGCCUCCUGGGCCGACACUGACGCUCAUGCACGAAAGCGUGGGGAGCAAACAGG